rnacentral:tRNA from 1 species
GGGAUGUGGCUCAGUGGUAGAGUGCUUGCCUAGCACAUAUGAGGCCCUGGGUUUGAUCCCCAGUACUCA